rnacentral:ncRNA from 2 species
UCGUCAUCAUGCCCGUACGGAGGAAAGCCGGUGCGAAACCGGCGCUGACCCGCAACCGUGAGCCGCCGUCACCGGCGGCGCAGCCGGAACGCUCCGUACGCGGUCGUGACCG